AUGCUGACCCCCAGUCGAAGUGUUGAGGAGGCCGAGGCAAAAUCUGCCCUCGCCGGACUGCAGGCUCUUGCAAAAUACUACAGCGGGCCUUUGAUCCUGGAGAUGGAUUGCCAUGCAAUCAUAAAAGAGCCAGCUACGGGAGACCAAUCCAGAUCACAGUGCUAUGCCUUGAUCAAGGAUAUUAAACAAGCACUCUCAGUUUUUUCAGCAACCAGAAAUGUCAGCGACCAGGAGAUCAUCGCAAACGUCCCGGAUAAACUCUGUCCACUGAUGAUGGCUGAAUUUGUAUAUCCUCUAGAGUAG
rnacentral:rRNA from 1 species